rnacentral:rRNA from 1 species
UUGCACGCUGGCGGCAUGCCUUACACAUGCCAGUCGAACGGCAGCGCGGACUUCGGUCUGGCGGCGAGUGGCGAACGGGUGAGUAAUACAUCGGAACGUACCCUGUUGUGGGGGAUAACUAGUCGAAAGAUUAGCUAAUACCGCAUACGACCUGAGGGUGAAAGUGGGGGACCGCAAGGCCUCACGCAGCAGGAGCGGCCGAUGUCUGAUUAGCUAGUUGGUGGGGUAAAGGCCCACCAAGGCGACGAUCAGUAGCUAGUCUGAGAGGACGAUCAGCCACACUGGGACUGAGACACGGCCCAGACUCCUACGGGAGGCAGCAGUGGGGAAUUUUGGACAAUGGGGGCAACCCUGAUCCAGCAAUGCCGCGUGUGUGAAGAAGGCCUUCGGGUUGUAAAGCACUUUUGUCCGGAAAGAAAUCGCGCUGGUUAAUACCUGGCGUGGAUGACGGUACCGGAAGAAUAAGCACCGGCUAACUACGUG